CCUACGGGUGGCAGCAGUGAGGAAUAUUGGUCAAUGGCCGGAAGGCUGAACCAGCCAUGCCGCGUGAAGGUCAGUGCCCUAUGGGCGUUAAACUUCUUUUGUGCGGGAGCAAUAUUGGUCACGUGUGGCCAGACGAGAGUACCGUACGAAUAAGCAUCGCCUAACUCCGUGCUAGCAGCCGCGGUAAUACGGGGGAUGCAAGCGUUAUCCGGAUUUUUUGGGUUGAAAGGGUGCGUAGGCUCUGAGUUAAGUCAGCGGUGAAAAGCUCCCGCUCAACGGGGUGAAGUGCCAUUGAUACUGCCUUGCUGGAGUGCGGAUGCCGUAGGAGGAAUGUGUGGUGUAGCGGUGAAAUGCAUAGAUAUCACACAGAACACCGAUUGCGAAGGCAUCUCACGAGUCCGCGAUUGACGCUGAUGCACGAAAGCGUGGGUAUCAAACAGGAUUAGAUACCCCAGUAGUC
rnacentral:rRNA from 1 species